UGGGGAAUCUUGCACAAUGGGCGAAAGCCUGAUGCAGCGACGCCGCGUGCGGGAUGAAGGCCUUCGGGUUGUAAACCGCUUUCAGCAGGGACGAGGCCGCAAGGUGACGGUACCUGCAGAAGAAGCCCCGGCUAACUACGUGCCAGCAGCCGCGGUAAUACGUAGGGGGCAGGCGUUAUCCGGAUUCAUUGGGCGUAAAGCGCGCGUAGGCGGUUUGUUAGGUCAGGAGUUAAAUCUAGGGGCUCAACCCCUAUCCGCUCCUGAUACCGGCAGGCUUGAGUAUGGUAGGGGAAGGCGGAAUUCCAAGUGUAGCGGUGAAAUGCGCAGAUAUUUGGAAGAACACCGGUGGCGAAGGCGGCCUUCUGGGCCACGACUGACGCUGAGGCGCGAAAGCUAGGGGAGCGAACAGG
rnacentral:rRNA from 1 species